rnacentral:tRNA from 1 species
AGGAUAGUUAUGUUGAACGGAUAGCGCGUCAGCCUUCUAAGCUGAAUGUCCUGGGUUCAAAUCCCAGCGGACCCG